GACGAACGCUGGCGGCGUGCUUUAGGCAUGCAAGUCGAACGCGAAAGCCCCUUCGGGGGUGAGUAGAGUGGCGAACGGGUGAGUAACACGUGGGUAACCUGCCCCUCGCAGGGGGAUAACCGGGGGAAACCCCGGCUAAUACCCCGUACGCUUGCUGGGGCGCAUGCUCCGGCAAGGAAAGGUAGCUUCGGCCAUCCGGCGAGGGAGGGGCCCGCGGCCCAUUAGCUAGUUGGUGGGGUAACGGCCCACCAAGGCGACGAUGGGUAGCUGGCCUGAGAGGGUGGUCAGCCACACUGGGCCUGAGACACGGCCCAGCCUCCUACGGGAGGCAGCAGCCAGGAAUCUUGCGCAAUGGGCGAAAGCCUGACGCAGCAACGCCGCGUGGGCGAUGAAGGCCUUCGGGUCGUAAAGCCCUGUUGUCGGGGACGAAGGGCGAAGGGUUAAUAGCCCCUAGCCUGACGGUACCCGACGAGGAAGCCCCGGCUAACUACGUG
rnacentral:rRNA from 1 species